CAGACCUCAUCUUAAAGGCAUACCAUGCAGAUCUCACUAUCCCUUUUGGGAAAACGGGACAGUCACUUCUUGCAGCACUGCUCUGAGCACACUGAUAUGCAGAGGGGAACAGACCUGAGAGGAUGGAAUCUGUAAUCUACCAGCAAGCACCUUUAGCAAAUGGGAAAAGGAGGCUUGUUGUCUCCUCUCUGAAUCACCAGAAAAAUGAGGUGCUCUGUGAUCUGAGUGUUCAUGCUGCAGGCAAGGAGUGUGUCUUAUUAAUUCUGUGAUCUGACUUGUUGGAAAUUUCCAAGAAGCCCUCGAGAAGAAAGAUGACCUGCUGCUUUCCUGACAUCAAAAAUAAUAGCAUCAUGUGUGGGGUAACUGCAGUGUUGCUUAAUGGUUCCACAAUGACCAAGAAAAGACCUGGAUCCCCAAAUCUACUUCACACGACAUUUCAAUUAAAAUGAUUUUUAAAAAUGGCCAGAAC
ensembl:lncRNA